rnacentral:rRNA from 1 species
CCCUUAGAUGUUCUGGGCCGCACGCGCGCUACACUGAUACAGGCAGCAAGUUAUAUUUCCCCUUGGCUGAGAGGCCUGGGUAAUCUUGUGAAAUUGUAUCGUGAUGGGGAUAGGUCACUGUAAUCGUUGACCUUUAACGAGGAAUUCCUAGUACGCGCAAGUCAUCAGCUUGCAUGGAUUACGUCCCUGCCCUUUGUACACACCGCCCGUCGCUCCUACCGAUUGAAUGGUCCGGUGAAGCGCUCGGACCGCGGCCUCUUGACGGUUUUCCGUCGAUUGGCUGUGGGAAGUUCGUUAAACCUUAUCAUUUAGAGGAAGGAGAAGUCGUAACA